UUUAAAGGUAGAUAUAUUAUUUUUAGAUAUGUAUUUUUGUGUGUUCUGUAAAGGUAGAUUUAUCUAAUCUUCCACUCAUUUUUCUGUUUUUAAGCCAUUUGAACGUUUUUGAAUAUGCAGGUUUUUCAGAUCUGGAUUUAAUAUGCAGGUUUUUCUGAUCUGGAAGACUUCUGGGACGACUUACUUGUUAGUCGUCUGG
rnacentral:lncRNA from 1 species